CCUACGGGUGGCAGCAGUCGAGAAUCAUUCACAAUGGGGGCAACCCUGAUGGUGCGACGCCGCGUGGGGGAAUGAAGGUCUUCGGAUUGUAAACCCCUGUCAUGUGGGAGCAAAUUAAAAAGAUCGUACCACAAGAGGAAGAGACGGCUAACUCUGUGCCAGCAGCCGCGGUAAUACAGAGGUCUCAAGCGUUGUUCGGAAUCACUGGGCGUAAAGCGUGCGUAGGCUGUUUCGUAAGUCGUGUGUGAAAGGCGCGGGCUCAACCCGCGGACGGCACAUGAUACUGCGAGACUAGAGUGAUGGAGGGGGAACCGGAAGUCGCGGUGUAGCAGUGAAAUGCGUAGAUAUCGGGAGGAACACUCGGGGCGAAGGCGGGUUCCUGGACAUUAACUGACGCUGAGGCACGAAGGCCAGGGGAGCGAAAGGGAUUAGAUACCCCUGUAGUC
rnacentral:rRNA from 1 species